AUGCUCGCGUUAGCAGCACACACACUAAAAUUGGAAUGAUAUAGAGAAGAUUAGCAUGGCCCCUGCACAGAGAUGACACACAAAUUCGUGAAGCGUUCCAUAUUUUU
rnacentral:snRNA from 1 species